CACUAGAAAGCUAAAACGGGACUAGCGUUAGCCUUUUAAGCUAAAAAUUGGUGACUCCCAACCACCUCCAGUGA
rnacentral:tRNA from 5 species